UUCAGCAGUGAAUUCAAGGGACGUAAUCGAUCGAUUCUCUUUAAUUUCCUCCACUUUUUCUCAUCGAAAAUAUUUUCCAUUAAUUUUUAAAUCGAUAUUUUCUUUUAAUUAACCGUUCAAUUAGUCCUGUGUUGUUGUAAUGUAGCCUACAAGUUGUAAUAUCGUUGGUGUAAAAAUAUUUCUUAUCUAAAACCCAUAUUUUUCAAAUGCAAACAUUGUUUUCAAAAGCGUUAUUGAUUUUCAUAAAAGAAAGGAUGGAAUCAUUGAUAGAAGACAAAAAAGAAAAAUCUGGUGACCCUCACCUAUGAAUAUCUCGAAAUUAAUAUCCAACUUUUAUUUAGCAAACUUCAAUAAACUCUAUCUUUCGUUACCACCCUGGCUAGAAAGCCUCUCCCCUCAGAUAUCUUUCUUUCUUCUCUUGCCGCACGUUACUCACAAUAGACAUUGUCAGCUUUCUAUUAUACUUAAACCUAUUAUUUAUUGCAAGGUGCUCCGGCGUUUAAACUUAACUUUUACACAAUUUCGCUGACGCUUAAAAGGGGGGAAAGUUUGUUUUGUUUUUAACGGCAAUAUAAUAAUAAAUUUUUAUGUAAAGGUGAAAAUGUCAUCAAAAUACUUCUAUGACCCACAACUUCUAAUCAAUGAGAAGAAAUUGUAAAAAGAAAAGAAAAAAAACGUUUUUAUCUAAAAUAAGAACAGGAUAAAGAAACCGGAAAUAAUUAUAAACCUUAUUUUCGAUGAAUUCCUAAUUGGCGAGAGGGAGUGCUCUGUCCAAAAGGCUAUUAAUAGUUGAGUGGUGGAAAAUUAAGUUUCCAUAAUCAUUGCACAUCAAAUAUUUCCACUAUCCCUUAGUGCAAGACUUUCCUUCCCUAAACGAAUAUUCUUAAACCCUUUUUUUUUUUUCUUUUUAUAAGUCAUUACCGUCUUAUUGGUAAAAUAUUAGCAUCCUUAAACCGAAGAAUUCUAAAAAAAAAUUCCCUGGUAAGUUUCUUAUUGAAAAUCCUGAGCCAACAGGUUCUAAAUCUUUACCACCAGAUCCCCCCUUGGAGUAAAACCAUGAAAAAAAAAUCCCAAUCAUUUUAAACAGACUGGCUUUGAAUAUCAGUCUAUGAGAUAAUGGUCAUCUUUGUCUUUUAGUGGAAACUGGACUUUAGCAUAUGUUUGCAUUGGUCUUUCCAAUCUAAUUACAGUCAGGCACUUAGCACAUUUAGGAGGAGUACUUUUUUUUUUUUUUUACAAAUAAACAAAAUUUAGAAAUAAUUAUUUUAUUUUUAAUUAUUAUGCUAAGGAAGGACUUAAUUUUUCUCGACAUAAUAUCGGUGUUGUAUUUGCAGAAUUUCCUUGAAAUUUUCCUACAGUUUCCUAUAAUUUCACCUGAUGUAAGAUUUUCGUGCGCCUGUAUGUAAAUAUAAAGUAUACAUCAUAUAUAUAUAUAUAUAUAUAUAUACACAUACAUACACAUAUAUACACACACACACAUAUUCCCGACGCGCACACAGACACAGCCGUGUAUAUUGCAGGAAGAAGUCCGCGAUAAUUCCUGAAAGCGUGGAACAAUUGAAAGUAGUUUUGUAUUUACUGUUAUUCUUAAUUCUGUUGAUCACAUUUUCUGUUUUUGAAUUUUGUGGUGUUCCUGAAUUCAUUCUAAGUGCAUCAAACGAAAAUCCAUAAAAUAAGUCUUUUAGUUUCAAAAGAGAUAUAUGUUUAAGAACCUGGCUAAAGCAUAUAAAAUCGUAUGUAUUGUUAAUUAUAACUGCUUUCAGAAAUAAAUUACGGAAAAUUCACAGUAAUUAUCAGGUGUCCAGCCUGGCGCAAUGAUGCAGGGCCCUGGUGACCAGUAAUUACUGGGUCUCUGUCAACAGUGGACAAAGCAACGAUGCAUGUCAGACCAUCUACAUCAUCAUCAAUUUGAAUAUAAUUUUCACUGGCAUCCCAGAUACCUAUUUCUUUACUACCCACAAGGGGCUAAACACAGAGGGGACAAACGGAUUAAGUCGAUUAUAUCGACCCCAGAUACCAUCAUACAGGAAAGCAACCAGGUUCAAUGCUCACAGCUUCAGCUUAAAGAACUUCAACUGACCUUACACAGGAGCGACAACAAGCGCAUCGUACCCGUGUUUCACCGACAGCAAAGUUGCCUGGCCUUUUCCAGUCAACAGCUUCCAACAUUGAACUUUUCCACCAGUCAGACAAGAGUGCACAAGACAGAGUUUCUUUGGUGAUGCACCAACCCUGCCGCCUGCAUCCAAGCAAGGUAAUAACCUCCCAGUCUUUUCAACAACAAACAACCAGGAUAUGGUUUGUGUGCUGAACUGGAAACAAACCUCACUGUAUGAAUGAGCCUUUUGUUAACAAAGAUUGCACAACAUGUCAAGAAGUGGACUGCAAGCACAGGACACUGUCUGUAUGAAGAAUGAGACUUGUUUAAUCAGUGGCCCAGCACAACAAUGGCAGGAGAUAGAAACUCUCUCACACAAAUGCUUAUCCAUGUGUGACAUUGAUGAACAUGAAAAUCUCAGUGUAGCAUAAGCUUAACCCUUUUGUUGCCAUAUUUCUGUUGAGAUGCUCUGUGUUUCUUUCAAUUAAUUUUAAAUAUAACAAAGAAUUUAGUAAAAUAACUUAGCUAUCAUUAAACUAGUGUUGGGAACAUAAAUUGUGACUAAGGUUUGGUGGAAAAUUUUAAUUCAAAUCUUAGGAAAACAAGACAUUUCUACUCAGAGCCAGACCCGGUUUCAGCUUGGUUAGUAACGAAAGGGUUAAUAUUUGUUACAAUUCUUUCGGCACUGCUCCACUUGGAACCAUAUUACACUUAAAUAAUUAUGUGUGACAAGUUAUACAAGACUUCUAUGAAUUUACCUAUUAUUAACAUAGGAAGAGUGGGGAAUAUAUAUAUAUACACGCACACGUGUGCAUUCAGUCGUGGCUGUAUAGUAAGAAGUUCGCUUUCCAAUCACAAAGAUUUGGGUUCAGUCCCUUUGUGUGGC